GGGCCCGCACAAGCGGAGGAACAUGUGGUUUAAUUCGAUGAUACGCGAGGAACCUUACCCGGGUUUGAACGCAUUUUGACCGGAGGGGAAACCCUUUUUCUAGCAAUAGCAAUUUGCGAGGUGCUGCAUGGUUGUCGUCAGCUCGUGCCGUGAGGUGUCGGCUUAAGUGCCAUAACGAGCGCAACCCUUACGGGUAGUUACCAGCAUGUAAUGAUGGGGACUCUACUCGGACUGCCAGCGUAAGCUGUGAGGAAGGUGGGGAUGACGUCAAAUCAGCACGGCCCUUACAUCCGGGGCGACACACGUGUUACAAUGGAUGGGACAGAGGGCAGCGAUAUGGUGACAUAGAGCGAAUCCUAAAACCCAUUCUCAGUUCGGAUCGAAGUCUGCAACCCGACUUCGUGAAGCUGGAUUCGCUAGUAAUCGCGCAUCAGCCAUGGCG
rnacentral:rRNA from 1 species